AUUGAACGCUGGCGGCAUGCUUUACACAUGCAAGUCGAACGGCAGCGCGGGCUUCGGCCUGGCGGCGAGUGGCGAACGGGUGAGUGAUACAUCGGAACGUGCCCAGUAGUGGGGGAUAGCUCGGCGAAAGCCGGAUUAAUACCGCAUACGACCUGAGGGUGAAAGCGGGGGAUCUUCGGACCUCGCGCUAUUUGAGCGGCCGAUGGCAGAUUAGCUAGUUGGUGGGGUAAAGGCCUACCAAGGCGACGAUCUGUAGCUGGUCUGAGAGGACGACCAGCCACACUGGGACUGAGACACGGCCCAGACUCCUACGGGAGGCAGCAGUGGGGAAUUUUGGACAAUGGGCGAAAGCCUGAUCCAGCAAUGCCGCGUGUGUGAUGAAGGCCUUCGGGUUGUAAAGCACUUUUGGCGGGAACGAAAAGGACUGUGCCAAUACCACGGUUCGAUGACGGUACCCGCAGAAUAAGCACCGGCUAACUACGU
rnacentral:rRNA from 1 species